UACGUAGGCAGCAAGCGUUUGUUCGGAGUUACUGGGCGUAAAGGGUGCGUAGGCGGUUGUUUAAGUUUGGUGUGAAAUCUCCCGGCUCAACUGGGAGGUGCGCCGAAUACUGAAUGACUAGAGUGCGGGAGAGGAGAGUGGAAUUCCUGGUGUAGCGGUGAAAUGCGUAGAUAUCAGGAGGAACACCGGUGGUGUAGACGGCUCUUCUGGACCGUAACUGACGCUGAGGCACGAAAGCGUGGGUAGCAAACAGG
rnacentral:rRNA from 1 species